ensembl:lncRNA
GGGUGGCUAUGGGAUGGGGUCCCUACGGGGUGGGGUCUCUAUGGGGUGUUGGCCCCUAUGGGGUCACUAUGGGGUGGGGUCCCUAUUGGGUGGUUAUGGGGCAGGGGACUCUAUGGGGUCGCUAUGGGGUCGCUAUGGGGCUGCUAUGGGGCAGGGGUCCUUAUGGGGUCCUUAUGGGGUCCUUAUGGGGUCGGUAUGGGGCUGCUAUGUGGUCCUUAUGGGGUGGUGGUUGCUAUGGGGUCCCUAUAGAGUCGCUGUGGGGUGGGAGUCACUAUAGGGUGGGGCCGCUAUGGGGCCGCUAUGGGGUGUGACUGCCUGUAGGGUGGGGUCGCUAUGGGGCCACUAUGGGGUGGGGGUCCCUAUAGGGUGGGGUCGCUAUGGGGCCGCUAUGGGGUGGGGGCCGCUAUGGGGGAGGGAUCCCUGUAGGGUGGGGUCGCUAUAGGGCCGCUAUGGGGCGGGGGUCCCUAUAGGGUGGGGAUCCCUAUAGGGUGGGGCCGCUAUGGGGUGGGGAUCUGUACAGAGUGGGGUCGAUAUAGGGCUGCUAUGGGGCCGGGGUCCCUAUAGGGUGGGGUCGCUAUGGGGCCGCUAUGGGGCUGCUAUGGAGUGGGGGUCCCUAUAGGGUGGGGAUCCCUAUAGGGUGGGGUCGCUAUAGGGCCGCUAUGGGGCCGCUAUGGGGCGGGGGUCCCUAUAGGGUGGGGAUCCCUACAGUGUGGGAUCGCUAUGGGGCCGGUAUGGGAUGGGGAUCCCUAUAGGGUGGGGUCGCUAUAGGGCCGCUAUGGGAUGGGGAUCCCUAUAGGGUGGGGUCGCUAUAGGGCCGCUAUGGGGUGGGGAUUCCUAUAGUGUGGGGUCGCUAUAGGGCCGCUAUGGGGUGGGGAUCCCUGUAGGAUGGGGUCGCUAUGGGGCCGCUAUGGGGCUGAG